rnacentral:lncRNA from 1 species
UAUGUAAAAUUGUUAUAUGCCAUAGAAGUAACCAAAUUUCCUUGUCAGUUGUGUUUAAAAGACUGUUUUAAAACUUUUGUUAUCCACAGUUGUUGUACUCAUAUCCUUUUCAAAAGGUGGUUUUAUAAUCAGCUACAGGACUCUGACAGGUGCUCUCGAAGGCAGGUGUUUAAUAACUUUGGAGACUGUGACACUAGAAUAGAGGAAAAACUUCCAAGACUCUCAUAGACAGGAUACAGUUGAGGACAAUGGUAAUUUAACCAAGUCUUUGACUGGAGUUGCAUACUUUCAGAUAUAAAGAAACUGCUUUAAGGGAUCAGAGUUGACUUAGAAAGCCAAUAAAAGCCCCUUUGGAAAGCUGGCCUCCUACCUUGUCUACCCAGUUCUUGUACAGGUUUCUGACCUGUGCUGUGCCUUCUUAAAGGCUGGAGCCUGGAGCACAUGAGGAGAAUUCACAGAAGUGCCUGGAAAGGGAACUGCGGUGGAUCUUACAGAGACUUGAAACAUGUGGAGAAGUUUGGCUUUUAUUCAUAAAGGACAAAGUGCUGCCUCCACCUCCCCACCUGUCUAGUUUUAUUCAGUGAUGUCUAUCCUCAUGACUUGGGCCAUUUUCAUCAUCACGUCUAUUUGGUUACCUAGGUCUGCCGUUUUUUGUUUUUGUUUUUUCCCAAAUGCUUUCCACAUAAGAUGGCCUAGGUGUCAAUUGCUUAUCUCAGUGGAAUCAUUUCUACUCACCUAUAAAAUGGGAGUAAUAAAAAUGCUAUGUAUCCGAUUGUUGUGAGGAUGAAAUGGGAAUACUUGGACAUGGGGCCUGGUUGCUGGUGGAGGCAUCUGCUCUGUUCCCUGCUGCAUCCCUCACUUCCUGCCAUCCUCUUGCCCCACUUCUGCAGUGCUGAGUGACAGGCCCACAGCCUCCAUGCCCUCCUGUUCCUUCCUUCUCUGCUGAUCUUUUCUGUUUCCAGACACAUCUGCCACUACUGUCUGGUCCAAACACUCUUUCACCUAGGAAGUUUAAGCACGUUGUUGAACUAGAAAUAAUGUAUUCACUCAGUUACUUAUACACACAUUCUUUUCCCACUCAUUAAAAGUGGUUUGA